ensembl:lncRNA
CCGUGUGGUGUUUGGUUAGGGUUAGGGUUUUUUUCCUUUGGCUGUUUUUUGGGGUGUGUGUCAGAUUGUUUGCUGUUGUAUUUGCUUUUAUUUUGAGGACUGUGUUCUCCCUGUACCAGUCUGUCACCCUACUCAACCUUUUUUUUAAGUAUUCCAUGGAGGAACUGAGGAACUGCUCGCCCAGCUCUGGAAUUACUGUCGAAGCAUUAUCCAGGCGGCAGAUCCACAUCAGAGACAUAUACAGAUGAACAGCAGGGGACGGUCUCCAUACACCCAGCUUCGCCUUCACGGAGGAGAAGGCGUCCUCGGAAGCAGCGUUCAGCCACA